rnacentral:tRNA from 1 species
GGUGGGGUGGCUGAGCGGUCGAAGGCGCUCGACUCGAAAUCGAGUGUACCGCAAGGUACCGUGGGUUCGAAUCCCACCCCCACCG